UUUCGACGAAUGGAUUUCCGCACGAAAUAUAAAUUAAAAAGUCUUACUACUUUUUGCCCACAGUAGUAUGUAUGUGAAUGUUCAUUUGUAUAUUAAAACAAAAUUGCUGGACACAACAACUGAAUCGUCUUUUAAAGAGUACAAGAGUACUAAAUCGAAAUUAUUAGCUGGUGAGCUUAAGCCUACUGCUUCACGUGAAGGACAUCAAAUUUAGUUAAGUACAAAUGCUACAUUAUGACCAAUAGCCGAAAGCGCAGUCUUCAUGUCGUUGAUGUACCCUCAGAAACCAAAAAGAAAUGCACCAACCUGGCAACGGAGUGGACAAUAAAGAAUGGUCAGCCGCUUAAAACGUCAAUAAUGACUCUGUAAUGCCGCAUCACACAACUAUAUCGCGAAACAUCGGUGCGCUCUAUGAUUUUCACAUCAAUGAAGUAAGAAUCGAAAUUCAAGAGCAGAAACUAUAUGGAUAUCGCAUAACUUCAGAUAUCUGGACGGACGAUUUCUUUAAAGAAUCUUAUAUUUUACGGACUAUGCAUUACGUCAAAGAAAGUACUCUUAAAAACUAGCAGUGAAAUUAAUGGGUGGAGCGAAUUUUACGUGACUUUGGAUGUGAUUUACUGUUUGACGAUCCAAUAUUUGUUACCGACUGAGGAGCUAAUAUGAAAGCAGCGUUCAAUGGACUGAGCACAAUACACUGUGCAAAUCACUUGAUACACAAUGUGAUUGGCAAAGUUGUGUAUGAAGUACCAGAAUUGCUGGAUCUGGUUAAUCGCUGCAGCAAACUUGUUAAGUAUUUUAAAAAAUUUGGACAAAACUGGAACUUAACAAGCAUCCUGAAAAGCUACUCUCCAACUCGUUGGAAUACUAUAUUUAACCUCUUGAAGUCGGUUGAGUUAAAUUUGAUGGAAAUUUCGUAGAUUUUGGUGGAAAAAAAAUUAAAUAUCAAGAAUUACGGAUAUAAAUUUAAUUAAUAUUAGCGGAAUGUUGAACCUUCUUGCCGCCUUUGAAUGUUGCUCCAAAAAGCUGGAGGGUAGCAAUUAUCCGAUAUUGGACUUGUCUGUUCCACAUAUUAAUAACUUAAAAAAACAAGUAAGAAAGUUACAGUCGAGUGGGCUUGACUGUGAGAAACCCGCUACCCAUUUUGAAUAAAAGCAAAAUAUUUAUUUUCAAAAUUUCCAAAUAUACCAAUAUCGAUAUAGUGCCGCAUUCAUAAUAUACCAUAGACGGCACAAUAUACCAGAUUGUCGGCCAAAGCAACUAAGACUAAGAAUUUUCAGGAAUCAUGAAUAAUAUAGUUAUUAUUGUAUACACCGCAGCACAGUAGUUGGGCUCGUAUGGAGUCGUGGCCAUAAAUACUUUCCAUUAAGAUAUCAAUGUGAAAUUUUUUCCAAAUCCUAAAAUAGUGAAAAAAUUGGCCAUAUCGUACGUCUAUAUCAUGUAGCUGCCAUAGGAACGAUAGGAUAGAAAUAAGUUUUUUCAAGAUAUGUAAACCAAACUUACAGAUAGUAUGCUUGGACCAGUUUUAUAUAUGCUUGCCAAAUAUGGUCCAAAUCGGAAAACUAAGCAAAAAUUGUAAACACAAAUAAGUAAUUGAGCUGUUUCUUUUUCAAAUUGGAACCUCAUUGGUCUGCAGAAGCGUGUAGAUGACGGUCGGGGAUUUUUCCAAAUUAUUUUUUGACCUUUGGGAUCACUGGAAUUUGUAAUCAGCUGCAAUGACUGUCCGGUGCUACCAUCGAAUCCCCAUUUUCCUAUCAAAAUUAAGUUCUUAAUGUUCUCAAUAACUUUGUGUUGAAGUUUUAAAAUCCGUGAGGCUGUAUGGUUUAACAAACAUUGCAAUUAAACUUCAGCUUUUGCUUCAGUAACGCUGAUAUC